UACAGAGGGGGCAAGCGUUAUUCGGAAUUAUUGGGCGUAAAGGGCGCGUAGGCGGUGAUUUAAGUGAGAUGUGUAAUCCCCGAGCUUAACUUGGGAACUGCAUCUCAGACUGGGUCGCUGGAGUGCUGGAGAGGGUGGUGGAAUUCCACGUGUAGCGGUGAAAUGCGUAGAGAUGUGGAGGAACACCAGUGGCGAAGGCGGCCACCUGGACAGUAACUGACGCUGAGGCGCGAAAGUGUGGGGAGCAAAC
rnacentral:rRNA from 1 species